rnacentral:rRNA from 1 species
UUUUCCGCAAUGGGCGCAAGCCUGACGGAGCAACGCCGCGUGAGGGAAGAAGGUCUUCGGAUCGUAAACCUUUGUCAUCGAGGACGAUGAUGACGGUACUCGAGGAGGAAGCCCCGGCUAACUACGUGCCAGCAGCCGCGGUAACACGUAGGGGGCGAGCGUUGUCCGGAAUUACUGGGCGUAAAGGGCGCGUAGGCGGCCUAAUAAGUCAGAUGUGAAAACCCAAGGCUUAACCAUGGGAUUGCAUUUGAAACUGUUGAGCUUGAGGGCAGGAGAGGAAAGCGGAAUUCCCAGUGUAGCGGUGAAAUGCGUAGAUAUUGGGAGGAACACCAGUGGCGAAGGCGGCUUUCUGGACUGAACCUGACGCUGAGGCGCGAAAGCCAGGGUAGCGAACG